AAUAAUAGAGGUGAAAGUAUUAAUGUCAGGAGUGACAGGGCAUGCGGUCAAAGAAGGAACACAUGGUUCAGGGUUGUAAGGUGACAUCUUUUCAUCUACAAAAUUAGAAAUAAGAUAAAAUCAAAUGGCGGGGAACAUUUUUUUUUUCUCCAAACUAAAUUUAAUAUAGUAAAGGAGUUGGAAUUGAUUCUAGAAAGCAUGUAUGUGAUUCCAAAUCACAAUAAUAUAUAUCACUAUCGAUUUCAAUAGAUGAGAAAUCGAUUCCAAUUCUCUUGUUUAUUUCAUGCUCUUUGUAUUCUAUUCCAAUAACAAAUAAUCAAAUUUUUGAAAUUCAGGAAUCACAAAAUGCACAUUUAAAAAUUUGAAAUAAGCAGCAUUUUCAAAAUCACAUAUUACAUUACAAAUUUCUGUGUCCUUUUCCUUUUAUUUUAAUUCUUUUAACCAAUACAUUAAUGAGUUUUAAAUUUUUAAGUUAGUGAUAGUUUUCAAACAAAGUUAAAAGUUAAAAAAAGAACAAGAACAAAUAUUUCAUUUUUGUCAUGCAUGUUUAAAUUACCUUUCAAAUUGGAUAAGAAAAAUAUACCUCUAUCACACUACUCUCUACAAUGGAUUAAGUUGAAAUUUAACUAUACUACUUUUGUCAAUCUUGUUAGAACUAAAGUUCCAAAUUGAUGGAUUUUCUGAUACAAUUUUUUUAAUUAAUUUUUUUUUCUUUAUCUAAUUAUAAUAUUUUUAGGUUUAAUAUCUAUUUUGGUCACUCUUUUGGAAGGGUUUGUUCAAAGUGAUCUCUCAUUUUUUCAAAAGUUCACUGAAGUCCUACCUUUUGCAAAAACUGUUCAAAGUGGUCCUUUUUGCUAACGGCGUUAAGUUCAGUAACGACAGAGGAGGUGUUAGGUGUCUAAUGUCUGAUUAUGUGGCAUUGUUAUUAGUUUUAAUAAAUAUAUAUAAUUGUGACGUGUAAAUUAUAUUAAUUAGGAUAAAAUAAAGAAAGGAAUUAGGGGUAAUUAGGAUUAAAAGAUUAGGGUAAUGGGAAUUGGAUUGCGAUUGAGAUUGAGAUUUUCGUGGUCGAUUUAGGACUAUCUAAGCUUUCUGCUUCAGCCAGGUGCUCUGAUUCUGGAGCAUGCAAAACAUUUUCAACUUGUUGCAAUAUCUCGCCGAACUUGUUCUUCAUGUACUUCAUAAUGCUCCUCGGAAAUAUCCUCCUCAAUAUAAUCACUGACAAUAUCUACACCAAUAACAAUUUCUUCGGUGUCCCAUAUUGGUGCGUGAGUCUCACCAAUUUCAUUUUCAACGCCACCAAAUAUAGGAUACUGAUACACCAUGGAACCUUCACAGGAGAAGGGGCUUGAAUGUCAUCGUCAACCUUUGCUUUUAAAAUUUCCUCCUCACGCUUCAUCUCUUUCAGCUUUGCAGGAUCAAUUUCAGGCUCCUUGGCAGGGGUCACCUUUUUGGAAUUUUCAAAUUCAUAUUCAUCAGUUACUGCUGGGAUUUGAUAGAAAUAGGAAUUCCCCUCCUCUUUCUCCUGUAGAGACUAGAUAUCCUUGUCAAUGGCUUUCAGGGCAUCAUCGAUUUACUUAGCAAAUAUCUGUUGCAGGAAUGUUUCACAAUCCUCUUUCCCUCCACAAAACUUGGCGUUUGCUUCAGCUUCACGCCCUUCCCCACAGACGAUUGAGGGUUCUGAACCUCCCCCGGGGCGAAGUUGCUGAGGGCGGCACCGGUGUUUUUGAGGCAAGUGGGGUUCUCGAUCUUCGAUUGGUUGCAACCCAUCUUUGAAUCCUUCGAUUCCUCCUCUUCCUGCUCAGUCACCUCUUUGGAUCAUAUCUCCUUCAGCCAGAUUUAGAUUUAGAAUUAGGAUUCCAAAGAGAAAUUGCCACUUUUCCUGUAGAGAGAGAAACUGAAUUUUACAGAUGAAAGAAAAAGAACAAAGAUGCGUUGAAGUGAGAAAAUUAUCGCAAUUACUGGAUUGAAGGUGUUUGAUGAACCCUAAAUCGACCACGAAAAUCCCAAUCUCAAUCGCAAUCCAAUUCCAAUUACCCCAAUCUUCUAACCCUAAUUACCCCUAAUUCCUUUCUUUAUUUUACCCUAAUUAAUAUAAUUUACACGUCACAAUUAUAUAUAUUUAUUAAAACAAAUAACAAUGUCACAUAAUCAGACAUUAGACAUCUCUGUCGUUACUGAACUUAACGCCCUUACCAAAAAGGACCACUUUGAACAGUUUUUGCAAAAGGUAAGACUUAAGUGAACUUAAAAAAAAAAAGGGACCACUAUGAACAAACUCUCCUAAAAGAGGGACCAAAAUAGGUAUUAAACCAUAUUUUUAGUAAUAAAUAUUAUUUUAUAUUAAUUUUAUUAUUAAAGAUAUUUUGAUAAUUUUUAAUUUUUAUUAAUUAAAAUUUUAAAUAUAUUUAACUUUUUUUUAAUAAAUAUGUGAACAUUUUCAUAGCAUUCACGACUUUAGAUUCCCUCGUUAAUAGCUAAAGUGGUGUCACUUUCAACACUUUUAAAAAAGUUUAAGCAAUAAUUUUUUUUUAAUUUAUUGUUAAUAUUCUAAAAACUAGAAAGAAAACAAUUUUAGUCUGCAACUGUCUUCUAAUUUUCAGAACAUUAACGAUAAGAAAAUUGAAAUUUAAACUAGAACAUGUUCAUAGUACGUGUGAGAAGAAUAGAAAAGAGUGCGGUUUACCUUGACAAGUGUUGUCCUGUAAUGGAAUGAAAGCAGAGGAGUGAGGCAGGAUAUCUGGCUUUGUCCCAACAAAGUUAACACAGCAAGUGCUGAAUUUCGACUGAGAUAGAUUAGUGUAGAACCUCAUAGAUCUUACCCUGCAUUUUGUUUAUUUAAUUUCCAGGAGACAAUACAACCUUCUAUAAAGCUUGCAGCUUUAGUUAUCCAAUAUUUUUACUUUUGUUACGUUAUGCUACUACUACUCAUUGUUACAUCGGUAUGUCUUAGGUUGUUCUUCUUCAGUAGAGGCGUUUUAACCCCAAUCAUUCAAUUUCUGCACGCAUCACAAUUAAUUGCUCGAAAAAAAGAAGAAGAAAGGAUUAAGGAAUAAUAUAAUCAAAGAAAGAGGGAUGUAGAUAAUGUAAAUUUUUUUAAAAAAUAUGAUGACCCGACCCGAUCCGAUAAAGGGUACCAUUUCCUAAGCAAGGUCUCACCGCUUAGAUCUAAUAUAAACAGUGAAUUUUAUUUAUAACUUUUUUUCACAAUUCUAUGAUUUUUUCUUUACCUCCAAAUCCAAUGGCAACCGUACGAUCAAACUCGAUCACGGUCUUCUUCGUCGUUUUCAUUCUCUUCGCAACCGCACCAUUUCCUUCUCAAUCCAUAUCUUUCUCCUCUUAUUUCCGUUACCGAAACCUCUUCUCCCUUUCGCAUUCCC
rnacentral:lncRNA from 1 species